rnacentral:lncRNA from 10 species
UUCUUAGGCGUCCUCAUCCCUUUUCACCUCGGAGCUCAGCGUCUUCCUCAGCAGCACUUCCAUGUCAUCUGCCCCGUGAAAUCAGCCUAACGCCGUUUCUCAAUGACGUGGAUCGCCCUAGGCCACCGCAACCUUCCGGAAGCUCUCUCAGCUCAGUUCCCAUUCUCCCACCAUCUCUUGGUUCUCCUUCUACCUCACCGGUUGCUAGUCCUCCGCUUCGCAGCUGAAAAUGUGCCCGGGGCCUACUGUGGGCCUAGCCAGGCCUGCUUACGCAGUGCAGUUUCCCAUGAAUGAUGCCCAGUCAUUAUCACAUAACCUGUGGCAAGCCAGCAAGAUGGCCCUGGUGACAGCAAAAGAAACUGCACUAGGACCUGAAUGUAGAUCUCAGUCAUGUUCCUUACUAACAGCACGUUUUGCAACCAUGCGUUAAAGAAACAUCUGACUCACAACAAAAUUUUAAAGGGUUUAUUUGAGUGAAAAGCAAUUUAUGAAUUGGGGAACACCUGACUGAAAGAGCGUUAGUAUUCCAGAGACAAAACAUCAAGUGCAAGUUUUUAUUGGGAAAAUGUAGAAGCACAAUAAAGAAAUUAUUUGAUUGGUUA